rnacentral:rRNA from 1 species
AACGAACGCUGGCGGCAGGCCUAACACAUGCAAGUCGAGCGAGGACUUCGGUCCUAGCGGCAGACGGGUGAGUAACGCGUGGGAACGUGCCCUUUGCUUCGGAAUAGCCCUGGGAAACUGGGAGUAAUACCGGAUGAGCCCUUUGGGGGAAAGAUUUAUCGGCGAAGGAUCGGCCCGCGUUGGAUUAGGUAGUUGGUGGGGUAAUGGCCUACCAAGCCGACGAUCCAUAGCUGGUUUGAGAGGAUGAUCAGCCACACUGGGACUGAGACACGGCCCAGACUCCUACGGGAGGCAGCAGUGGGGAAUCUUAGACAAUGGGGGAAACCCUGAUCUAGCCAUGCCGCGUGAGCGAUGAAGGCCUUAGGGUUGUAAAGCUCUUUCAGCUGGGAAGAUAAUGACGGUACCAGCAGAAGAAGCCCCGGCUAACUCCGU